CAGGAAAAGGCAGAGCAGGAGUCAACCUUAGGCAGUCUAGCCCCGGAGCUUUGGGGCGACACUGUCUUGGUCUUGAUGCACUGAAUAAAAAUUUCAAGACAUGAUCAAAGGAAGGUGGACAGCACACUAAAAGAGCAAGUUCACUCUCUUGGAAGAAAGAGAUGGAUG
rnacentral:lncRNA from 12 species